UACGUAGGGGGCUAGCGUUGUCCGGAAUCAUUGGGCGUAAAGAGCGUGUAGGCGGUCCGGUAAGUCCGCUGUGAAAGUCGGGGGCUCAACCCUCGAAUGCCGGUGGAUACUGUCGGGCUAGAGUACGGAAGAGGCGAGUGGAAUUCCUGGUGUAGCGGUGAAAUGCGCAGAUAUCAGGAGGAACACCGGUGGCGAAGGCGGGUCUCUGGGCCGAUAUUGACGCUGAGGAGCGAAAGCGUGGGGAGCGAACAGG
rnacentral:rRNA from 1 species